rnacentral:lncRNA from 1 species
UGCCUCUCGAGGGGAGAAGGGUUAGGGUCUAAAAAUGGGCAAUAGUGCCUUGAGUAUUUUGUGGAUGGUCCCUAAAUUAUCGCCUCUGCGGGACGAUUUUUGAAACUGAUGGACAAGUGAUAGAUAAGAAGACAUAGGGAGUAUGGAGCGAUCUUAUUUGUUGACGUGGUUGGUUCUCAUAGACUGAGGGAGAAAAUGAGUAACUGUCGGGUCUUUAGUGGGUUGCCGUUAGUUAGUCCAUUACCUACCUCCUAAGUCCUAUGUCCAUUGCCACCACCUGCCUCCAUACCAAUAGGAUCCCUCCAAAUCCCUUUUGUCGUCUUUGUCUAUAGCUUUGUCUAUCAGUUUCAAUAAUCGGCCCGCUGCAUGCAUUGGGGUGUUUUGCAUGUUAUUAGUGGCAUUACCUUAUUUUGCGUGUUUUAACACUAUGGCCCCUUCCCCUGCGACUGUUCUGUCUGAAACUAAUUAUUUCAUCGUGUUUCAUCUCAUGAUAUCAAACGAAUCGCCCAUGCAAAAAUUAAUAACGUUGCACUAAAAUGCUUAAGUUAAUUAAUCAUUUGUGCAUGUCUCAAUGAACCACUUACGUAAUUUUAUUUUAGGGGAAAUAUAUAUUUCUUACUGCGGGCAUUUUUGUAUGGGCUGAAUCUCUGCUGAGGCACCGAGCCUUAUUUCGCCUUCAUUUCACGAGUUAUGCAAUAUGCUGUUCUUUUGGAUCGGAUGUUUAUGAUGACUGGUGAGGUCGAGGUCCCGAACAUUCCCGAAGUUCAACGACCAACGAGAAAUCAGCAGCCGCUGCCGAAUUUGACCUCUGCUUUCCGAGUUUGUGAUAAUUUCAGGUCAGAAACCUACCUAAUUAAACCCUUUUAUCCAAAAUGGCUCACGAACCAGUGUACACCGGUUGGAGAAAGUACUACAACUCCGAAACGCAGCUGGGGAGAGCAUCGGUUGGUAACCUUCAUAUUUUAUUCUGAACUAAAUGUUUGAAUCAUUUGAUGUUAAAACAAAUUCAUCCGGUCAAACCAGAAAUGUCCAUAAUUUGAGAAUAUUUAAGCAAUCUAGGUAAUCGAGCUUAGGAAUUAGCUAAAAUGAUUACGCUUUAACAUCAGCUGACUCAUACUAUGAGUACUUAAUUUGUGAUAUUUAUCAUUCAGUGAGCAAGUACUAGGGAUGCGGACUUUUUGGGAAGAAUUGAUUUUCUCAAACAGUUCGAUUUUGGUUAAAAUAUCAAUUAAAACCGAAUAGUUUUAAAUGAAAAAAUCGAUUUUUCCCAAAUAUCGAUUCGGAAAAAAAUCGAUUUUCUUACUUCUACCUGAGAUGCCAAAUUCCAUUUUACUGAUAAGUGAAAUUUCAUUUUCCAUCAAACAUCAACCAUUUUUCAAGGGCUGUGUAUGCAACUUGCAACAAUUAUCGAAGAAUUCAAUGAAAAACUUGGAAUUGAACUAGUGAUAUUUUCUUUCAUCAAAAUUUCAGAAUUUAAAAUUUUCUUCAAAGAAAAAACUUAAACUAGAACUACCUAGAAAGAGACACAGAGAAAAAAAGGUUCAUAAAAGUGAAAAAAAAAAAAAAAAAACAUCACGUAAUAGACAGAAAAAGAAAAAAAUUGUGAAUGAAAUGUAGUUUGGGCUUACAGAACUUGAGCAGAAUCUUUACCACAACUAUGCCAAAAAAUUGCAUCCCUUUGAGGUUAAAAAAUUGAUUUGGCCGAUAUAUGGGGGGGGGGGGGGAGGGUGUCGAAAAAUUGAUUUGAUUUAAUUGAUCUUUCGGGUCAAAAGAUCGACUUUUCGGUCGAAUUGAUUAAAAUUCCGCAAUCCCAGGGAGCACAGAAGCAGUAAUGGAUUUGAAAGAGUGCCUAAAAGUCUUCAUAACUAAAAUUUUAUCAGAUAAAUUCAGACACAAGAGACCCUCCAUUGGUAUCUUGGCAAUGGUGGAAGCUUUUCCUCUUGGGACUUCAACAUUGAACUGUUGACCUACUUACUAGGUGGAUGGUAAACAAGUUGAGAGUUUCCUUUUGCAGGCAAACCGAAGUUUGAGAAACAUGUUUGGCUCAUGACGUGACCAAAAGCUCAUCAUCCUCCUAGUAGGUAAGAUGAAUGCUGGUCCCUAAUAAUUGUCCAUAAGGAAAUGCUGAGUCCCCAAAGCAAAAGCUUCCACCUUUUGUCAUGAGGCCAGUAGGAGGUCUCUUAUCUAUGAAUAAAGCCCUGUCCCUGAUCAGAUAAAACUCCCAUGAAUUUACCCUUUUCAUCUGCCUGAGUUUGUAGCGAUUAUGUCAUUAGUGCAAGCAGAUUUAGCAGGGGUCCAACCUAGUUUUCAAAAAAAAAAAAAUUGUGUAGAAAGAUAGAUUAAGAAAAAGGAAAAAACAGUUACUAUAAUUCUACCACACCUCAUCCUUUUUCCUGUGUAGAACAAAGUAACAAACCUUUCAAACCAAGAUAAGAAAUUAAACAAUAUUAUUUUUGGUCCCUAAAAUUUUGAGAAAAGCUUAAUGGAAUUUGAGUAAUUUCUUCCAAAAUUCAAACCUCUGUGUACUCCUUUCAGCAUAAAUCUUUAAGCUUGCUACAGGCUGAUUCUUUCUGUUGUUCGAUAAGUAUAUCACCACAAGAAUAGGUUGUACAGUAGAAAUUCUCGAGCAGCGGUGGAUUAACUGCCAAAAUCUUUAGUCCAGAAAGGCUACUCAUGGGCUCGUAAUUAUGAACAAUGUCUUUUGCCCGUUUAUCAAGAAUUGAUCAGAGAUUCUCACCUGUUCUUGGCCAUAAAUAAUCACUUUUCAAGAUCAUCAAUGAAAAAAAGUGUGCAAGUUUGUAGUUUUGCCUCAAGAUCAGACAUGGAAUUUUGUUUACUGGCGUUUGCAGACACUCUGAUUCGUUUCUAAAGUUUUAAGUACAUUUAUGUACAUAAUUGAGUUUUCUCUUUUCUGUUACAGGCUGCAAGAAUCACCUAUGGCGUUGCUGCUCUUGUUUUUGUGUACUAUAAGUUCAUAAAGCCCAAGCCAGCAGCAGCAGCAGCUGAAAAGAAAUGAGCCCCCUUCCUCAAUAUGUCCUAGGUAGUGUAAGUUAAGGUCUCUCAGAAUGUUCAUCGUUCGUUUCCUUAUGGUUUUCAAUCAUUUUGCAUUUUAAAUCAAGCUGUCAAACUUCAGAUGAGCGCGAAGGUAACGGAAAGAGUGGAAACCGUUCCUAGUAAAUUGUAAAAAUUAAUUUGUAAGGUAAAGCAGGAACUUGAGAGUCUCAAAACCCAGCAGAUAAAAAAUUCCAACUGUCAAAUCUUAUUUUGUAUAGGUCUUCUUUUCUCUCUUUAUGUUGGGUAUCUCAGCAUUGAAAGUUAUGAUUUUUUUUGUUGAAUAUUAAAAGAUUAAAAAUCCACACACUGUUCCAUUCUGUUUGUUGUCAUUCGUCAUCCUCUCAGUCUCCACCUUUCCCUCUCUACAUAAAUGAACUGAAUUCUGAGGGCAAAAGUAAAGAUUCAUUUUUCUGUCAAGGGUUCAAAAGUCUCAAAAUGCAGACUGUCGGCUGCGAUUCGGUGUUUUUGCCUCACGGAUACUACUUAUUCAAAUUUUAGCAGAAUGCCUGAUAUCAACAUGUGUCAGUCGCCCCACUUCUUUAAUGCGUUGAGUAGGGAAAAAUAAAUAUUUUUCUUUGAAAGUUGCCUCACAACCAAAGAUCUGACAUUUGCUUAAAUCGUUAAACCACAGAAUCAGGAAGUUUUUGGACCUUUGCUUUACAAUAUUGUGUGCCACGUUUCUCUUAGUUAUUUAUUAUUACUUCUAAACCUUCUGACAUAAUGAUCAUGAAAGUUCCAAAAUUUGCACAUUAAAACUCUAUAAUUUUGACCGUAGCGUCCAGUUCUCUAAAAAAAACCCUGCAAUUUAGUGUUUUUUUCGAACUUGAAAGGUGGGUGAAGAUUCUAGCUCAAAAACUGUGUCUUUGAUAAAACAGCUACCAAAGAUUUGGCUAUGUGUACUUUGAUGUAAAUUGUAAGCAUAUCAAAGUCAUUAAAAAUUAAGAACUGUGCUUGUAAUGAAGUUUGUGUUUUCAUUUAUAGAUUUUGCUAAUUUUAUGUCUCAGGAAAAAGAAAACUAUGAAAACUAGAAGAGGGUCUUCCUGCAUUGAAGAAGCCCAUUUAGUACUUUUUAUCUGAGCCGGUUUCAAACGCCUUUGUUGCUGUAUGCACCGGAUAGCGAAUUCCCUAUUCUGUGCUAACAGCGAAAAAUGCAAAAACAUGUGAAAUGGGUUCUAGUUUGCCUGUUUUAAAUUGUUUUUAAAGAAAAUACACCACCUCAAAUUUUAAGAUUGUUUUUUAUCACGGAUGACUACUGAUUAUCUGAUCUCGAUUAUGAAUAGAAAGGGACAGGGGAAGUGAGAUUAAAAAUAUAAAAUUUAUGAUUCUUGAGGAGCAAAGAAACGUCUUAAAUUUAACCUUUCCUUCUAUUUAUUUUAUCAAUUCAAGAUUCUUUUAUCAUUAAGAAGGCGAAAUUCAAAGUUGAAUAAAAACCAGGUGACAAUCCAUGUGCAAUUGUGAUUGGCUUUGGUAUUCUAACAUUCUAAUGUUCCCAUUUUAUAAGUAAAAAAUUAAACUAACUUGAUUACCAUAGGUAAGAAAGUCCCAUCUCCAUCAACUCCAGAAAGCAACCGUUGUUUCAGAUCUUCAAAUUCGAGUUGCCUAGCCAGGAAUCCAACUUGGGACCUGCUGAUUGUAGAGCCAGCAUUACAACCACUAAGUAUGCAUAAUACCAAUUAAGGCCAACACUAAUCGACAAACUAUUUUGUCCUUACAAUCUGCAGAUUAAAACUCAGUCAAAAGUCUGUUGAAUUCUCUAGGUGCAGAAAAUAAAAAGAUUUCAACAUCGACAAAACAAUGUAAAUAGCAACCCUACUAGGUCUACAGCUGUAGAAAAGAACCUCUAAAAACUCUUGAAUAUCAAGUGGACAACUCUUAAAAAAAACUAUUAAAUAUUCGUAUCAGGAAACACUCAUUGGCUAUUUUUUUUUAAGUAAAAUUUACGAGCCGUCAAAUUUAAGUAAUAAAGUGUUAAAAAAAACUCUUAAAAUAUCAACUGUAGUUUUUCACACUAAAAUGUCGGAAAGAAAUGUUAAAAAACCAUUUUUAUAUUCUAAGAGUCUUGUAACACUUUUUUCCUUAGAUUUUACUUGAAUCUUACUUCUCGUAAAUUUUAGGUACUCAAAAAUACUUAUUGUUAGUUAAAAAAGGGUCUCCUAAUGUGAAACAUUUUAAGAGUUUUUGAAAAUUGUUUAAAAAAUGAAAUAAAUAGGAAAAAAUGCAUUUAAAGAGGAGGAAACUAAAGGCUAAUCUUGUUGCGUGAUUUUACCUUGCGGUGAGUCACUUGGAGAAAUGCAUGCAUCUUGAAAUGGAAAUGCUGCGGCUUAACUGCGCUCUGAGUGCUGGCCUGUACGAUUUGAAUACUGGCGUGGUUGCUGAUUCUAGAUAAUACGUUUGUGCUUGCCGUCCAUGCUACCGUGCUCAGUAAGAACUAAGAACACCGUAUGAGGCACCAGGCGUCGCCAAAUUUCUCUAGCUAAUCACGAAUUUUCUGGAAUAUUUCUCUUCCAAUUUUUCACAGGAUAUUGUUCGCAAUUUUAUCUUAAAUUCUCGAAAUGUCAAGGAAAAAUUUGCUUCACUUUCUUCAAAGUAAGUAUUUUCGAAGCCUGAAAGUGGUAACAUUCGAACGCUUGUACUUACGACGUUUUUACGUCGCACGUAAUUGAAUCAAUUUUUUUUUGCAUUAAACUUUCCAUCUAACUUUUUGUUCAAUUAUGUCGGGUGUUGAAUUUAUAGUGUGAAUUGGCCUUCGAAAAGCAAAUAAAUUGUGAUAAUCCGUUCUUGGCAGAAUGUUCCGAAAGAAAAGGCCGGCACCUCCUCCCCCCCCCCCUCGUCUGUCUGCCGGAAAUGGAUACUAACUCCUCACCACUCG